CGGCGAAAGGGAGCGAAAAUUAAGUAGCGAAGUGGAUGAUUGUACACUGACGAGAAAAGCUGUGUGGAUUGAUGAGGUGCCCGUACCGUAAACCGACACAGGUGGGUGAGGAGAGAAUCCUAAGACCAGCGGGAGAAGUGUUGUUAAGGAACUCGGCAAAUUGACCCCGUAACUUCGGGAAAAGGGGUGCCUGCUAGCGCAGGCCGCAGAGAAUAGGCCCAAGCGACUGUUUAGCAAAAACACAGGUCUCUGCUAAAUCGAAAGAUGAAGUAUAGGGGCUGACGCCUGCCCGGUGCCGGAAGGUUAAGAGGAGGACUUAGCGCAAGCGAAGGUCUGAAUUGAAGCCCCGGUAAACGGCGGCCGUAACAAUAACGGUCCUAAGGUAGCGAAAUUCCUUGUCAGGUAAGUUCUGACCCGCACGAAUGGCGUAACGAUUUGGGCACUGUCUCAACAACACACCCGGUGAAAUUGUAGUACCGGUGAAGAUGCCGGUUACCCGCGACUAGACGGAAAGACCCCAUGGAGCUUUACUGUAACUUGAUAUUGGAUUUUGGUAUUGCAUGUACAGGAUAGGUGGGAGACUGAGAAGCACAGACGCCAGUUUGUGUGGAGUCAAUGUUGGGAUACCACUCUUGUGAUACUGGAAUUCUAACCUGCGGCCGUGAAACCGGUCGGGGGACAAUGUCUGGUGGACAGUUUGACUGGGGCGGUCGCCUCCUAAAGAGUAACGGAGGCGUUCAAAGGUUAGCUCAGUACGGUCAGAAAUCGUACGAAGAGUGCAAACGCAAAAGCAAGCCUAACUGCGAGACGAACAGGUCGAGCAGUAACGAAAGUUGGAGUUAGUGAUCCGGCGGUAAGAGAGUGGAAUUGCCGUCGCUCAACGGAUAAAAGCUACCCUGGGGAUAACAGGCUGAUCUCCCCCAAGAGUCCAUAUCGACGGGGAGGUUUGGCACCUCGAUGUCGGCUCAUCGCAUCCUGGAGCUGGAGUCGGUUCCAAGGGUUGGGCUGUUCGCCCAUUAAAGCGGUACGCGAGCUGGGUUCAGAACGUCGCGAGACAGUUCGGUCCCUAUCUGUCGCGGGCGCAGGAAAUUUGAAGGGAGCUGUCCUUAGUACGAGAGGACCGGGAUGGACGUACCACUGGUGUACCAGUUGUCUUGCCAAAGGCACGGCUGGGUAGCUAAGUACGGAAGGAAUAAACGC
rnacentral:rRNA from 1 species